rnacentral:rRNA from 1 species
GAUGAACGCUGGCGGCGUGCCUAAUACAUGCAAGUCGAGCGAACGGACGAGAAGCUUGCUUCUCUGAUGUUAGCGGCGGACGGGUGAGUAACACGUGGAUAACCUACCUAUAAGACUGGGAUAACUUCGGGAAACCGGAGCUAAUACCGGAUAAUAUUUUGAACCGCAUGGUUCAAAAGUGAAAGACGGUCUUGCUGUCACUUAUAGAUGGAUCCGCGCUGCAUUAGCUAGUUGGUAAGGUAACGGCUUACCAAGGCAACGAUGCAUAGCCGACCUGAGAGGGUGAUCGGCCACACUGGAACUGAGACACGGUCCAGACUCCUACGGGAGGCAGCAGUAGGUAAUCUUCCGCAAUGGGCGAAAGCCUGACGGAGCAACGCCGUGAGUGAUGAAGGUCUUCGGAUCGUAAAACUCUGUUAUUAGGGAAGAACAUAUGUGUAAGUAACUGUGCACAUCUUGACGGUACCUAAUCAGAAAGCCACGGCUAACUACGUG